GUGAACCUGCGGAAGGAUCAUUGUCGAUACCUAGAACAAAACGACCCGAGAACGCUCGAUCAUCACUAUCGG
rnacentral:rRNA from 1 species